AUCUAUACAAAGGUGACAAAAUCAAAAAGAAGAGAAAAGAAGAUAGUUGGCAAAAUCUUCAACGAGCUCCACGAUGGUUCACCCCCUGAAUCUUAUGUCAAAUAUCAAAACUUGCUCAUACAGACCCUUAGUAUUUUCCAUGUUUGUGAAAAUGUGACAGUGGCACAGCCAAUCAAAAAGGAGGUACUGAAUCUCUUGCAGCAGUCAGGGUUAAGUGACAGGGACUCUUGGCUGAAAGUCAUGCACAACCUCAAGUGCGAUGACUUCACUGCGAAGUGGAUUGUCGAGAGAUAUAACAUAUUCCAGAGCAAAAUUGACAUUUCAGACUUCUCGUUUGAUGCCUACUGCGCACUCCUAAAAGCAUUGGAUACCCCUGUUGCGAACACAGAUAAGAUCCCCUUCAUGAUAGAUCUAAAGGAGACUCCCUCUUCUCUAGAAGAACUUGCAAAAAAUAUAGAAAAACUAGAGUUCCAAGUCAACCAAACUAUCCUCAUGGAUCUUUUCAAAGGAGUUCCUUCCGAAAUAACUGAAUCGCAAGAAGAUGCAUUCAAAUUCUCCUCUCAAACUGCAAGAGGUAUGUGGGCAUUUGGAGUUCAAAGUUCCAGGUGCCUCCGACUAUGAAAACCCUCUUCAUAAGGCUGCCCAACAAGGACGCCAUGAACACAUUCCUGGCCUCUCUAGCAAUGACAGCAGAGCUGACAGAAUUAAGGAUCUGCAUCAGUGUCAACAUCGGAGAAGUGCUUUGCCCAAUUCCAGAAGGUAUUCAAGGUGUCUCCUUGUACAUCAGUGAUAUCCAGAGCGAAGAGGAAGUUGAAAAGGUCCCAAAGAUCCUUUGUGGGCUCCGACCGCAGGAAAAAGACAGAUCUUUCCCCGCCCUCUCCUUUCCUCGGUGCUCCCUGGGUGAAAAGGGACAUCACAAACUCGUGGACUCCCUCGCCGGAUUCACUGUGAAAGUGUGGAUCCAGUUACCAGAAGACAUAAAACCAGAGGGUGACGUCAGUGAGGAAAUAUCUGCAAAAGCUCAGAAACUGACUCAGUGUGAACAUGGUAUCAUGUGUCCACUGCUGCUGCUGCCUGUGCCCUUCCUGAUGCCCUUGACGUAGUCGAUAUUGAUGUUUGGGGUGAUGAUGGGGCUGUAACCAUCAUCCCCAGAAGUUGCCCUUGACCAGGUGAUUACAGAUGCUGAAUCUGUCAUGCAGAAAACCAUCAAACUGGUUAAUGAACCACAUCACAGAGAAGUAUCCUGGAGUCUGUACCUCGAGAGGCUCCUGAAAGAGUCUGGUGAAAUUAACCCAUUCUUCAAUUCUUCUUCCGGACGGAACUUGAGCUUUUGUUUUAGAAACUGAAGAAGUCAUUGAAAGAAGGAGAUUUGAAAGUUUCAUUUAAACUCUUCCCACAUAUGAGAGAUGCGUUUCAGGUACUGCAGGAAGAAUCUUCAUCAUCCAGACAUGUCAUGCCUCUUCCUGCUGUUCCUUCGACAUCUUCCAUGGUGCCUCAGCCUUCAACACCCUUCACGCCUCAGGCUGUGCCUUCAGCAUCCUUCACGCCUCAGCCUGUGCCUUUGAAAGUCUUGCUCAAUCAAGAAACUUCCAAACCAGAUCUAUUUUUUCACCUGUUGCAGCAGCAAACAGCUCUACUUCGGGGAGAACGUCUGUCACCUUGGGCAAGUUUUCCUGGGUCGUCAACACCCAUGCAAGUCAUGACACCGCCAUUACCUCUCACAAUACCUAAUCUUAGCCAAAUCAUGAAUGAAAGUUCCCUGGAAAGAAUGUUUCCCUGUACGACGAGUCCUGCUUCUUCGAUUAAUACGCCUUAUACUUCAAGUGUCAUUACCACAACGGCUCCUAGUACAGAUUUUGCUUUCCUGUUGUUACUCCUUUUUGUUAUUGUGUAAACAAUAACAAAAAGGAAACUUCUUGUAACAGUUUUCUCAAAUAACGUUCCAUGUGAAUUCUUGUGACACCUUUAAUUCUGCAACUAUGCACUGAGAUUUUGAUUAAUUUUCUAUCAAACUUUAUUUUGAAUAAAAGUUGUUUCCCUUUCUGUUAUUGUUAACACAAUAACAAAAAGGGAACUUCUUGUAAUAGUUUAUAUGGUAUUUGUACUAAACAUUUUCCUAAUCAAAUACUAACUUAUUUUCAUUAUAUCCAGAUAUUGCUGGUAAUUCAAAACUUCCUGAUCAUUCAUUUUGUGCCUCGGUCAGCGCCUGGAAUGGGAAUGAGUGCCAAAU